UAGGAGGCGGCCGCAGAGGUGGUAAGUUGUAGCCUUAUUUAUGGGAUUUAUUUCUCCCUCCUGGCC
rnacentral:tRNA from 1 species